rnacentral:rRNA from 1 species
GAUGAACGCUGGCGGCGUGCUUAACACAUGCAAGUCGAACGGAAAGGCCCAAGCUUGCUUGGGUACUCGAGUGGCGAACGGGUGAGUAACACGUGGGUGAUCUGCCCUGCACUUCGGGAUAAGCCUGGGAAACUGGGUCUAAUACCGGAUAGGACCACAUUUUGGAUGGUGUGGUGGAAAGUUUUUCGGUGUGGGGUGAGCUCGCGGCCUAUCAGCUUGUUGGUGGGGUAAUGGCCUACCAAGGCGUCGACGGGUAGCCGGCCUGCGAGGGUGUACGGCCACAUUGGGACUGAGAUACGGGCCAGACUCCUGCGGGAGGCAGCAGGGGGGAAUAUUGCACAAUGGGCGAAAGCCUGAUGCAGCGACGCGGCGUGGGGGAUGACGGCCUUCGGGUUGUAGACUCCUUUCGCUAGGGACGAAGCGUUUUUGUGACGGUACCUGGAGAAGAAGCACCGGCUAACUACGUG